rnacentral:piRNA from 1 species
UCACCUGACAUGCUAAGGAGACAGAGGGA